rnacentral:rRNA from 1 species
AUUGAACGCUGGCGGCAGGCUUAACACAUGCAGGUCGAGCGGUAACAGAGAGAAGCUUGCUUCUCUGCUGACGAGCGGCGGACGGGUGAGUAAUGCCUAGGAAUCUGCCUAGUAGUGGGGGAUAACUUGCCGAAAGGUAAGCUAAUACCGCAUACGUCCUACGGGAGAAAGGAGGGGACCUUCGGGCCUUUCGCUAUUAGAUGAGCCUAGGUCGGAUUAGUUAGUUGGUGAGGUAAUGGCUCACCAAGACCGCGAUCCGUAACUGGUCUGAGAGGAUGAUCAGUCACACUGGAACUGAGACACGGUCCAGACUCCUACGGGAGGCAGCAGUGGGGAAUAUUGGACAAUGGGGGGAACCCUGAUCCAGCCAUGCCGCGUGUGUGAAGAAGGUCUUAGGAUUGUAAAGCACUUUAAGUUGGGAGGAAGAGCAGUUAACUAAUAUUUGACUGUUUUGACGUUACCGACAGAAUAAGCACCGGCUAACUUCGUGCCAGCAGCCGCGGUAA